rnacentral:rRNA from 1 species
UACGUAGACCUCAAGCGUUAUCCGGAUUUACUGGGCGUAAAGCGUGCGUAGGCGUCCCGCUAAGUCUCUAGUGAAAGCCUCCGGCUCAACCGGAGAAUUGUUAGAGAUACUGGCGGGAUUGAGUAUGGCAGAGGCAGACGGAAUGCUUGGUGUAGCGGUAAAAUGCGUUGAUAUCAAGCAGAACACCAGUGGCGAAGGCGGUCUGCUGGGCCAGUACUGACGCUGAGGUACGAAAGCGUGGGGAGCGAACAGG